CUCAUGGUUUCACGGUAUUGCAAUGAGAACAAUUUAAAACCCUUAGCGAGAAUCAAGUGGAGGACAAGUCUGGUGCCAGCACCCGCGGUAAUUCCAGCUCCACUAGCGUAUAUUAAAGUUGUUGCAGUUAAAAAGCUCGUAGUUGAACCUCUGUCUGGGGCUAGUUUUGGCUUUGGUCAGGCUAGUUCUAGGCAUCCGCCUACAAGACUUAGAGGGCAUUCAGUUGUUCACUAGGAGGAGUAGGCAUUUUACUUUGAAAAAAUUAGAGUGUUUAAGGCAGGCAAUCGCCCGCAUAUAUUAGCAUGGAAUAAUAGAAUAGGACACUUUUCCAUUUCGUUGGUUAUUGGAAUCGUGUAAUGAUUAAUAGGGACAGUUGUGGGCAUUUGUAUUUAAUUGUCAGAGGUGAAAUUCUUGGAUUUAUUAAAGACAAACUAACGCGAAAGCAUUUGCCAAGGAUGUUUUCAUUAAUCAAGAACGAAAGUUAGGGGAUCAAAGACGAUCAGAUACCGUCCUAGUCUUAACUAUAAACUAUUCCGACUCAAUGUUUGACUGGCUUAUAUAACCAGUUGAGCGUUGUAUGAGAAAUCAAAGUCUUUAGGUUCUGGGGGGAGUAUGGUUGCAAAGCUGAAACUUAAAGGAAUUGACGGAAGAGCACAACCAGGAGUGGAUUCUGCGGCUUAAUUUGACUCAACACGGGGAAACUUACCAGGUUAGAACAAUAGUGGGAUUGACAGUUUGAGAGCGCUUUCUUGAUUGGUUGGGUGGUGGUGCAUGGCCGUUCUUAGUUGGUGGAGUGAUUUGUCUGCUUAAUUGCGUUAACGAACGAGACCUUAACCUGCUUACUAGACUGGCGAUCAUCAAUCGUUAGCUCUUCUUAGAGGGACUUUGGUUGUUUUAACUCCAAGGAAGUUUGAGGCAAUAACAGGUCUGUGAUGCCCUUAGAUAUCCUGGGCCGCACGCGUCAUACAAUGACUAGUUCAGAAAGUUUUCUCCUGACCCGAAAGGGGAUGGGUAAUCUUGAUAAUACUAGUCGUGUUAGGGAUCGAUCUUUGCAAUUAUAGAUCUUGAACGAGGAAUUCCUAGUAAGUGCGGUUCAUCAGACCGUACUGAUUACGUCCCUGCUCUUUGUACACACCGCCCGUCGCUUCUACCGAGUGGGUGGUCCGGUGAGAUAAUUGAACUUCGCAGGUAACUGAGAGGAAAGAUUAUCAAACCUAUCCACCU
rnacentral:rRNA from 1 species